GACGAGGUGGCCGAGUGAUUAAGGCGAUGGACUGCUAAUCCAUUGUGCUCUGCACGCGUGGGUUCGAAUCCCACCCACGUCG
rnacentral:tRNA from 1 species